ACACAUGUUGCUAUUCAGCCACCAAGACAUAAUGAAGAAAUUUAUAGAAACAGGAAACUGUUUCAUUCUCUGAAUGUAAUGGUUGUUUGUGGGCCAUCCCUCCAGAUCCUUUCCCUGAAUGCAAAGUUUACUGGAAGUUCCCAUGAUGCAUAUGUCAUUAGACAAUCAGGGAUAUGGCAGAGAUUAAGAUCAAGUCAACGAGCAGACAUGUGGUUAUUGGGAGACCGUGGAUAUCCUUGCACCCCCUGGCUCAUGACUCCUUACCGUAAUCCCAGGCCAGGACCACAGAUGGCAUUUAACUCCGCGCUUACUGCCACUAGGCAGCUGGUGGAGCGCACAAUUGGUGUCCUUAAAGGGCGGUUUCGUGUGCUCCACCGCACUGGUGGCGACAUCAUGUAUUCGCCGGAGAUGGCAAGUAAAAUAGUGGUCCUGUGCGCAAUACUACAUAAUAUCGCGGUAAGGAGUAGUGUAGAGCUUCCUCAGGCAGAGGAAUUGCCUGAUGAGGAGCCAGGGGUUGGUCCACGCUUCGGUGGGGGGAGUGUGACACGGAGGGGGAGCCAAGUGAGGGCAAGAAUUGUUGCAGAAUAUUUCAGCUGAAUGAUCACACGAACUGUGGACAACAACAACGGCAAAACUCACCACCCCCUUCCCCUUCCCACUCCCCCUCACCUUCACACUCCCCCUCCCCUUCUCACUCCCCCUCCCCUUCUCACUCCCCCUCCCCUUCACAGUCCCCCUCAGCUUCCCAGUCCACCUCAUCUUCCCAGUCCACCUCAGCUUCCCAGGCCCCAUCAGCUUCCCUGGCCCACUCCACUUUCCAUUCCCCUUCUCACCACACCUCUCCAUCUCUUUCUGGGACCCCUUCUCCUCCUUCCCAUACCCCUUCUCCUUCUAAUUCUACAUCCCAAUCUGAACCCCCCACACCCUCUAUUGCCUUAACUUUCUCUCCGCCCCCCUCGCCCUCUCAAUCAGACCCCCCCUCUGAAAUUGGCAACCAAAUCCAGCCUCCUUCCCCCAUCCAGCCUCCUGCCCCAAUCCCUCCUCCUUCCCCAAUCCCUCCUCCUUCCCCAAUCCCUCCUCCUUCCCCAAUCCCUCCUCCUUCCCCCAUCCAGCCACCUUCCCCCAUCCAGCCAACAUCCCCACCCAGUGAAUGGGCAGAGGAAGCCCCUGCAGACCGGUCCGGGAGUCUUGAGGUUGCCGUGGAAAGUAAGUUUUGUUUUAUAAUGAAAAAAAUGAUU